UUCCUUACAUAAUCCUCUAAGGCUGAAACUAAGACAAGGAACCUUUUGAGAUGGAAAGAGCCAGAGCAAGUUGUUUUGGGAAAGGAAAAUUAAAGAUGGGAAACGUUUAAGCAAGAGGUGCUGAAAAGAAUUGGAGUUUCUGAUUUUAAGUCUCCAACUUAAAAUCCCCUGUGGAUUGUCACCGGUCCAGUUUUCAUGGACUGCUCACCUUGGCCAGGAGUGUCCAAUCCUGCUGGAAAUGCACUGGACCAGGAUGGCAUUUUCAUUUCGUGCUGGUGAAGACCCUCUGGGUGACCCCCAGUCACUGGGAGGACUGGCCUGGGCUCCCAGGGCACUAAUUCCAGGAGUUGUGUUUUUGGGAAUAGCACAGGAGCCUUUCCCUUGCCCAGAGGUGCAGCCAGUGCCUUCCUUAGACCACAAAUCUCCAGGAUGCAACACAAAGAAAAUAACAGGAGUAUGGAAAUCCCCCA